UUGGAUUUUCAGCUUCAAUGGCAUCGUCUCGUGGUUCUGUCAGAUUGCGUUCUCUCGGUUCCUCCGUUCUUGUGUCUUGUGGUUCGAAUUGGAUAUGUUUCUUCUGUUGUUGUGGUGUUUGCUGGUAUCGGUAGGUAUUCGCCUUGGGCGUGGUUUUGGAAUAAAAAUUGGUUUGGUCUGGUUCGGACUUCCAAGUCCUUUGAAUUUGGUCCUAUUUCGCUUUAGAGCGUCGUCUUGUUGGGUUAUACGACUAUUCUUUUGUUGAGUUCUGCUGCGCUUGAAAGGUUGGCCGGUUGCAUAAGCCCAACCUUCUCUUGGGGUAUACUUAUUCCUCGGCUUUCUCCAACUCUUUCUGUUGCUGGUCACUGGCCUUGCUGCUAGUUGGUUUUGUCUUGCCUAGCUGAUGAAAACGGGUUGAUUGUUGGCCUAAUUCUCUUGGAUGAUCCCACCUGGCUAGUGUUUUCUGCCACCACUCCUUCCAACACUUCUUCGGAUCUGCAGAUUGGUGGUACGUAUGCUCCUCUUGCUAGAUAAUGUCUACUAGGUGGGAUGUGUUUAGAAAUUUUGCCAGGGUGUCCCUGAUUUUGAACUGCGUCUUAGCUGCCAGUGCUCUGUUGAGCCCGAGUAUUUUAUUUACGUCCAUGGUCACGUUGAAGUUGGCUAGCAGCAGGCGGAUCUCUUGGCGCUGGUUUUCAGUUGCCGGGCAGUCUAUUAGGAUGUGUUUGACGUUUUCUAUUGCCUCGCAUCCCUUCCUACAGCUGGGGUCUGCCUUCUUGUCUAUUCUGUGGUUGAAAGAGUUUAGGUGGUUGUGCCCUGACCUUAGUCUAUGUAGACAGAUCGUAGUUGCUCUGUCCUUGUGAUGAAACCAGUCAGUUCGCCCUGUUUUGGUCAUUACUUGGAUGCAGGUUUUUUGGCAUUUCUUGAGAUUGCCCAGGAGAUUCUCUUUCCAGUCAGCUCUAAGUAGUCCUAUUUUUUCUGAUGGGGAGAGGGGGUAGUCCGCUUUCGUUCCUGAUGGGUUGGUGCAUUCGUAUUGUGCCAGUCUGUCCGCUUCUUCAUUUCCUUCAAUGCCUACGUGGCUUGGAAUCCAAGUUAGUGAUGUCCGGGUGCCGCUGGAGCUGAGACUGGCUAUGGUUUCUCUGAUGUGGUGCACUAUCUCGUUGUUAGCAGGGUUGGUGGAGGCGAUGGUUUUGAUUACCGAGCUUGAGUCGCAGAAUAUCAUCACUUCCGGCGGGUAUUCAUUCAAUUUGUAGGUGAGGUCCAGGGUUAAGUCGACAGCUAGUAAUUCUGCCGAGAAUAUGCUUGCUUGGUUGCUGAGGGACCAGGAUUGUGAUAGGUUCCUAUCAGGGAUGC